rnacentral:ncRNA from 1 species
AACUAUGACUCAACCUUCUGAGGGUCAUGAGAGCGGCGCGAAAGCGUGCGCUAGUCCAAUGGGCGACACUGUCAAAUUGCGGGAACCCCCUAAAGCCUCUACUACUAAGCGCGGGUCGAAAGACUUGCGUGGCCGAGCUAAUAGCCCUGGGGAUAGUAACAACGUAGAGGAUGGAACAAUGGGCAAUCCGCAGCCAAGUCCUAAGGGCAAUGCCUAUGGAUGCAGUUCAACGACUAGACGGCAGUGGGUGCGAAAGCGCUUAAGGUAUAGUCUACUCCUCUGGCGAAAGCAGAG